rnacentral:rRNA from 1 species
GGGUGAGUAACGCGUGAGCAACCUGCCCUUCGGAGGGGGAUAGUGUCUGGAAACGGACAGUAAUACCGCAUAAAAUAUAUUUGCCGCAUGACAGAUAUAUCAAAACUGAGGUGCCGAGGGAUGGGCUCGCGUUGGAUUAGAUAGUUGGUGGGGUAACGGCCUACCAAGUCAACGAUCCAUAGCCGGACUGAGAGGUUGAACGGCCACGUUGGGACUGAGACACGGCCCAGACUCCUACGGGAGGCAGCAGUGGGGAAUAUUGCACAAUGGGGGGAACCCUGAUGCAGCAACGCCGCGUGAAGGAAGACGGUUUUCGGAUUGUAAACUUCUGUUCUUAGUGAAGAAGAAUGACGGUAGCUAAGGAGCAAGCCACGGCUAACUACGUGCCAGCAGCCGCGGUAAUACGUAGGUGGCAAGCGUUGUCCGGAAUUACUGGGUGUAAAGGGAGCGCAGGCGGGAAGCCAAGUCAGCUGUGAAAACUACGGGCUUAACUUGUAGACUGCAGUUGAAACUGGUUUUCUUGAGUGAAGUAGAGGUUGGCGGAAUUCCGAGUGUAGCGGUGAAAUGCGUAGAUAUUCGGAGGAACACCGGUGGCGAAGGCGGCCAACUGGGCUUUAACUGACGCUGAGGCUCGAAAGUGUGGGGAGCAAACAGGAUUAGAUACCCUGGUAGUCCACACUGUAAACGAUGAUAACUAGGUGUGGGGG